UACGAAGGGGGCUAGCGUUGCUCGGAAUCACUGGGCGUAAAGCGCACGUAGGCGGAUUGCUAAGUCAGGGGUGAAAUCCUGGAGCUCAACUCCAGAACUGCCUUUGAUACUGGCGAUCUUGAGUCCGGGAGAGGUGAGUGGAACUGCGAGUGUAGAGGUGAAAUUCGUAGAUAUUCGCAAGAACACCAGUGGCGAAGGCGGCUCACUGGGCCCGGUACUGACGCUGAGGUGCGAAAGCGUGGGGAGCAAACAGGG
rnacentral:rRNA from 1 species